UACGGAGGGAGCGAGCGAUGUUCGGAAUUACUGGGCGUAAAGCGUGCGCAGGCGGCUUUGCAAGUCAGAAGUGAAAGCCCCGGGCUUAACCCGGGAAUUGCUUUUGAAACUGCUCGGCUAGAGUAUCGGAGAGGUUGGCGGAAUUCCCAGUGUAGAGGUGAAAUUCGUAGAUAUUGGGAGGAACCCCAGUGGCGUAAGCGGCCAACUAGACGAUAACUGACGCUCAGGCACGAAAGUAUUGGGAUCAAACAGG
rnacentral:rRNA from 1 species